rnacentral:rRNA from 1 species
UGUUGGAUUAAUAAUCUUUUUUUUGCAAAAAAAAGAAAAGAAGGUCUGUUCGACCUUUAAAUCAUUACAUGAUUUGAGUUCAGACCGGUGUAAGCCAGGUCGGUUUCUAUCUUCUAUAAACUAUUAUACAGUACGAAAGGACCUACAUUAUUUAUAAAAUAUAAAUUUGGCAGACUAUUGCAUUAGAAUUAGAAUCUAAUUAAUCAAA